AGCAGCCGCGGUAAUUCCAGCCCCAAUAGCGUAUAUUAAAGUUGUUGCAGUUAAAAAGCUCGUAGUUGAAUUUCGGGAUCAGUACGCCGGUCGUGCCUUCGGUAUGCACUGGUGUCACUGGUUUCUCCCUUCUGAAGAACCAUCAUGCCAUUAAGUUGGUGUGGCGGGAAAUCAGGACUGUUACUUUGAAAAAAUUAGAGUGUUUAAAGCAGGCUCGCGCUUGAAUACAUUAGCAUGGAAUAAUGAAAUAGGACGUUUGACCCUAUUUUGUUGGUUUCUAGGAUCGACGUAAUGAUUAAUAGGGAUAGUUGGGGGCAUUAGUAUUCAAUUGUCAGAGGUGAAAUUCUUGGAUUUAUUGAAGACUAACUACUGCGAAAGCAUUUGCCAAGGAUGUUUUCAUUAAUCAAGAACGAAAGUUAGGGGAUCGAAGACGAUCAGAUACCGUCGUAGUCUUAACCAUAAACUAUGCCGACUAGGGAUCGGAUGAUGUUAAUUUUUUAAUGACUCAUUCGGCGCCUUA
rnacentral:misc_RNA from 2 species